rnacentral:rRNA from 1 species
AGGGCUUUGAUCCUGGCUCAGGAUGAACGCUGGCGGCGUGCCUAACACAUGCAAGUCGAGCGAUUCUCUUAGGAGAAGAGCGGCGGACGGGUGAGUAACGCGUGGGUAACCUGCCCUGUACACACGGAUAACAUACCGAAAGGUAUGCUAAUACGGGAUAACAUAUUUUGAUGGCAUCAUCGAAGUAUCAAAGCUCCGGCGGUACAGGAUGGACCCGCGUCUGAUUAGCUAGUUGGUGAGGUAAUGGCUCACCAAGGCGACGAUCAGUAGCCGACCUGAGAGGGUGAUCGGCCACAUUGGAACUGAGACACGGUCCAAACUCCUACGGGAGGCAGCAGUGGGGAAUAUUGCACAAUGGGCGAAAGCCUGAUGCAGCAACGCCGCGUGAGCGAUGAAGGCCUUCGGGUCGUAAAGCUCUGUCCUCAAGGAAGAUAAUGACGGUACUUGAGGAGGAAGCCCCGGGUAA